AAAACCUUGUGUCACUUGAAUUUGAAUAGGAGAGUUGGGUCUAAUAUAAGAAUUAUAUAUAUUUUUAACAUUAUUAUAUAUAAUAAGCAUUUUUCCAGAAACCUGGUUUUGCCCACACUCGAACAAUUGGGUUACACUACGAAAAUGGGAAAAAUAGAAAAGAAAAGGUCAAACUGAAAAUGCACGUUAGGAUGAACGGAGAAUGAAGAAUCAGGAAGGGAAUAUUCGUUUCCCGCUUUUGUUAUAGGUUGUAUAUGUAUGUAUGUAUGUAUGUAUUCAGCCAUAAUAUUUAGCCACCAGCCACUAAGUUGUCUUGGAUAUGUUCCUUUUCCAUCUAUCAUGGAAGGGCAACGAGAAGCUUGAUGCUAGUCCACUAACAACUUAACCCUUCAAGCGAAAGAGUCACUAAGGCUUCCACAUAAUUUGUUCCUUAUUAAUGGACGUGAACAAUCAGACAACCCUAACACUAGUAGGUCAAGAUGUCCAUGUUGGCGAGUAGUCAUUAUAGUACUAUACCUUGUCAUAUUGUUUUCACACUUGGUGCCAAGGUUCGGAAAACCAGUACCAUAAGUCAUGUUGGUUUAUUAAGGUGUGGUUGGGUAUGAUGCUGUACACAUCAUGUACCGGCAGCCUUCCGAUACUCUUUUUUCUCACUUCCAGCUAUGGCACAUCAAAAUCGGGUGGUGCGGAUCGGACCAAACACGAUGGGGUGGUUUCGCUCGUUUCGGAUGGUAUGGACUGGUCUAGCUCAUAUAUACUAAGCCGAAACUAGGAGCUACCCCAAUUCCAAACUUGUAUAGUUUAUGCCUUGGUGCGGGUAGUUCAGGGCAGUUUGAUAGAUCUGCUUGGUGAACAUUGAUAUAAAAGGUGAUGACUAGUUGGUUGUUUAAGAUGACUCCAGUCGUGAACCUACAAGACCAACUUUCCCAAAACAAAUACUCAUGAAUAUGUUCUUGAUGAACGCCAUUAGCAAAUACACAUGCUAGACCAUUUUGUACUCCAAAUAGUAUAUUAACACUAAAAUCAUAUUUGAAGGAGAGAAUAUCUUUCGAAGGUAUAGUCGUUCAAAAUGCUUAUUGUCUGUAGACAAUAUCGUGUACUAUUUAGAAAUGCAAUAGAGUUUGUAUAGGAAUUUUGGGUGGUUUUUUAAAAAAAUUUCUAAGUUGUAUUCAAGGUUUGCCAUGCUGGUACCGAAACCCAUACCGGUCGGCUGGCGACACGGUUCGGUGCACUCUUGUGCCGAGCUUGUAUCAACACAACAAAGAGGGCAAGGGAGUGGGAGAGAGAG
rnacentral:lncRNA from 1 species